rnacentral:rRNA from 1 species
AGGGGGAGCAAUCCCCCCUAGAGCGGCGGACUGGUGAGUAACACGUGGGUGACCUGCCUUUGUCUUGGGGAUAGCCAUUAGAAAUAGUGGGUAAUACCGAAUACGCUUGCACACGUAGAGGUGUGUAAGGAAAGGCGCUACGGCGCCGGACGAAGAUGGGCCCGCGUCCCAUUAGCUAGUUGGUGAGGUAACGGCUCACCAAGGCGAUGAUGGGUAGGCGGCCUGAGAGGGUGUACGCCCACAUUGGGACUGAGAUACGGCCCAAACUCCUACGGGAGGCAGCAGCUAAGAAUAUUCCGCAAUGGACGAAAGUCUGACGGAGCGACGCCGCGUGGAUGACGAAGGCCGAAAGGUUGUAAAAUCCUUUUGCUGGGGAAGAAUAAGCAUGGGAGGGAAUGCCCGUGUGAUGACAUGAACCGGCGAAUAAGCCCCG